ACACCAACAUAAUGGACAGGACUACUCAGCUCAUCACAAGGAUAAUUCCAACCACAUCCAAUCAGGUCUCAAAUUUCUGAGGUAAGGGUCCACAGAAAGGGAAUUGAUGUCUGCCAGUGGAAAAGAAUGACGCUAAUGAAGAUACAAAUGGAAGUUCAGAACCACCAUAAAGCAUGCUAGCAAAUAACAACAAAGACCGGGGGUUGGCAGCAAGGAAUAGGCAGGGCGGCUGCUGGUAUGACGUCAGCAGCGGGAGCGGGACCUACCAGCCCCUACAGUGCAGAUGAGGUUCUCAGUGUUGACAUUGGCCAGGGCCUUUGCGAACAAGCCAGGCCUGAAAGAUGUCAUCUGCUGUCACUGAAGGAGAAAGUACAGGAAAAAAAACAAAAAACAACAGCAAGAAGUCAUUUGAAGCCUUCUAGAUUUUUCACUAGUAUCAACAGGUGGAUUCCACCUCUCAGCCUUCUUCUACCUGUCGAAAUUCAGAUGCAGCUUUUAAGUAUAAAAGCGGUGUCCAGUGCUCAGUGACUAGACGAUAGUUCUCUACAGAAUGUUCAAGGACACCACAGUGAAUUUGAAGAUGGAUAGAGUUAGUCAUUCAAGUAAUGUUUAUAUGUGAUGUAUUCGUGUUGUUCAAGCACCAAUGACUCACUAGUAAAGAGAGCAUUGUUUCAUCACACAUUUCACUGUGGGGAGUAGAAGAUGAACACAUUAAUGUUUAACACACCAGAAUUAACAUGCUUGCAUUGGUGAUACUGUGAGCCUGAUAGGAGAGAGAUGCAAGCCUCUGGGCGGGAGGGAGGGAUUCUCUAUACCAAGCUAGUUCAGGUGGGAAGACAUACUAUAAAUAUGGGGAGCAACAGCCUUUGGGCUGGGUCCUGGAAUGUAUAAAGACCUGCAUCUCCCACCUUCUGACAGCUGUAGCCAUUUUGUUCCAUGCCUGCCUGCUAUUUUGUAUUGUUGCUGUAAUAUGCCCGCCAGUCACUGAUACAGAAAAAUAACUUGACUAAGAGCAGGGCCAUGCUGACCACUUUGUUAAUCUUAAGAAAUUUGACAACCAUAAGCUUCACUUAGGGCUCAUCAGAAAAAAAGGUCAAUUAGAACUGUUCUGCCUAGCUAGCCAAAAAAGCUUGAGUCAAGAGCUGACCACUAGGCAGCACUUCCUGCACCUGCACGUGAGCUCAUUGGGGUUUUAUCACUUAUAAGCCAGCUCUGAGAAAUGUUCAAGCUUGGAGCUUCAGCGCCCGAAUUCUGAGCUAUGGCCCUGAUUGGUAGAUCUUAGGGUGUGCAUUCUAUAAACCGUUCCUGUUUCGCUAAGAUGGUUGUGUGGUUUGUGGGGUGACUCCUGGACCCGCAACAGAAUGAUUAAAAUCAAGAAAGCAAACGGAGAGCUUGCAAACAUCCAUCUCUCUUCUUCCUGACUAUGCAUACAUACAUGAGACCAGGUGCCUCAUACCCUUGCUGCUGUGAUUUUCCCACCAUGAUGCUGCUGCACUCCCCAACUGUGAAUGGAAUGAACCUUUCUCUCU
rnacentral:lncRNA from 1 species